AUACGGAGGGUGCGAGCGUUAAUCGGAAUUACUGGGCGUAAAGCGUACGUAGGCGGUUGGUUAAGUUAGAUGUGAAAGCCCCGGGCUUAACCUGGGAACUGCAUUUAAAACUGGCGGACUAGAGUUGAGUAGAGGGGAGUGGAAUUUCAGGUGUAGCGGUGAAAUGCGUAGAGAUCUGAAGGAACACCAGUGGCGAAGGCGACUCCCUGGACUCGAACUGACGCUGAGGUACGAAAGCGUGGGUAGCAAACGGGAUUAGAAACCCCAGUAGUCC
rnacentral:rRNA from 1 species